AUCUAGACAAGAAAGAUUCAUAUUUAUCCAAAACCUUUAAGUGCAUUUACUUCCUAUACAUAAUCCCCUUGUCAUGUUCUGCCAUGGACUCUCCCAAACUUCCUGCUAAAAAAAAGCACCCUAAGAAAAAUCGGUCCAGCGACUAUUUUUUACCCUCGUUGAAACGAAAUAAAAAAUAUCUUAAAAGAAAGAAUUUAUCUCUGAAAGCCGUGAAUGAAUCACUGAAGAGCCUGGAUAUUCAUCCUUUAAACAAAAUUGAAAAAGGAAAUCAGGUUGAAACAUGUCAAUUCAUAGAUCAAGAAUUAAAAAGUCAAGUUCGGCAGUCUCAAAAUGGUGUGCCUGAAGAGCCCAAAUCAAGAGGUGCAUUAAUAAGAAUUCAAAAAUUACAGCGUAGAAAUUGGCUAAAAUCUAAUCUGUCAAAAAACCCGAGAUCUAAAAUCCGUUGUGCUCGAGAAAAGAAGGAACGGAGAAAUAUCGUUAGAAAUCUUAGGAAACAGGAGAAAGAAUGGGAUGCCAAAUGCCAUAAUGAAUUAAAAAUAUUUGACGAAAGCCAGCAGGCCCAUUCGCAACAAACCGCUGUAGACAAUUUGCUUGCAGAGAGUGACUGGAACCAACUGAACUGCGACUUUUCAAAAUGGAAUGUUUUGUAAAGGUGCGUACGUAGUUUUGCAAGAGGUUCCUUAAUCAACUCUACAAGCACGAAAUCUGCGCAUUUCCUUGCUUAAUAUGCACACGUAGAAUGGCGUACGAACGGGGUUGUGCAGAUACUGAAAAGAACUUUAAUUUGAUGUCUUAUGUAGAACAGCAUUUAAUACUAUAAAAAGCGGAUUGUAGCAGAAGAUGUGAAAAAGAAGGGUGUCCACAACACAGAAGAUUGAAGCAGAAAAGAUCAUGGCAAACUCGUGUGUGAAGAUAAUAGAUAUGUCUUGCGUAAAUGCUUAAAUUUGAGAGUAUCUGAAAUUAUUAAUUGGUGCUAUUCGCAGUUAAGAGUUUACUUGAUUAGCGCUUGUGUUCAGCGAUCCAUGGGACUGAGGUCCAUACCGCUGCUAGAUAAGCAAUUUCCAUGUAAACCGUUUAUUUACAAAAAAGAUAUAGGAUUUUAGUUUUAGUUUUCAUAGACUUGGCUUUAGUGUUAGGGCAUUAAAUGUGUUUAUAGAGAGACACAAUAAAUACGCAUGUCACGUAUACACAAUACAGAGAAGCUAUAAAAAGCUGU